AGGACGAACGCUGGCGGCGUGCUUAACACAUGCAAGUCGAGCGGAAAGGCCCUUCGGGGUACUCGAGCGGCGAACGGGUGAGUAACACGUGAGCAACCUGCCCCUGGCUCUGGGAUAGCCUUCGGAAACGGGGAUUAAUACCGGAUAUUCACUGCUUCCUGCAUGGGGGGUGGUGGAAAGUUUUCGGCUGGGGUGGGGCUCGCGGCCUAUCAGCUUGUUGGGGGGGUGACGGCCCACCAAGGCGACGACGGGUAGCCGGCCUGAGAGGGCGACCGGCCACACUGGGACUGAGACACGGCCCAGACUCCUACGGGAGGCAGCAGUGGGGAAUAUUGCGCAAUGGGCGGAAGCCUGACGCAGCGACGCCGCGUGCGGGAUGAAGGCCUUCGGGUUGUAAACCGCUUUCACCAGGGACGAAGCGAGAGUGACGGUACCUGGGGAAGAAGCGCCGGCUAACUACGUGCCAGCAGCCGC
rnacentral:rRNA from 1 species